AAUACAUAUAUGGAUUUCUGAAUUAAAUACGUUAGUCGUGAUCUUUUUCCAAAAAGCUUGUAAAAACCUGUUAUAUAUUUACAGCGAAUGAGCGGAAAAAUAUUCCAUCGGGUAAAUUUCAAAGAAACUGUGAAACGUAGAUGACCCAUACCCUUAAGGGUGAAAAUGACUGAUAAUUCAACAAUAGUUUGAUAAGACAUCGUUAUAUUUAUCGGAUUGCUGUCAUUAUUCAAUGCAUAACCACGGUAACGGUUCUGGGUUCGAAUCCCGGGGGAGCUCAUGUUUUUUUUAAUUGACAAUGGUAUGAGAUAUGUACUGUAAAGUGGUCUGACCCCUCGUCCGUGACAUCCAGCCCAAUGGGAUAGUUCGACCAUCAUGACAAGUAUGACAAGCAUUACUUUACCUCACUUUUCAUAGAUAGACGAACGAACAGAUAAGUAAAAAAAGGAAUGCGAUUGAGGGCACUACAGCAAUGCUUAGGACGAAGCCCCGAAAUGCAAGCAUGAACAACAGGAUGAUUAAUUGUUUGGAAAGGUCAUCAGAGGCAUUGUGUGGGAAUCAUGGAGACCUCGACUUCAAUCCAUAGAAUAGCCCUUUUUUGAACAUGACAAAGCGACAAUAUUAAAGAUCAAUUCUGAUUCAUUUAAACAAAAAA